rnacentral:rRNA from 1 species
GACGAACGCUGGCGGCGUGCUUAACGCAUGCAAGUCGAACGGAAAGGCCCUGCUUUUGUUGGGUGCUCGAGUGGCGAACGGGUGAGUAACACGUGAGUAACCUGCCCUUGACUUUGGGAUAACUUCAGGAAACUGGGGCUAAUACCGGAUAGGAGCUCCUGCUGCAUGGUGGGGGUUGGAAAGUUUCGGCGGUUGGGGAUGGACUCGCGGCUUAUCAGCUUGUUGGUGGGGUAGUGGCUUACCAAGGCUUUGACGGGUAGCCGGCCUGAGAGGGUGACCGGCCACAUUGGGACUGAGAUACGGCCCAGACUCCUACGGGAGGCAGCAGUGGGGAAUAUUGCACAAUGGGCGGAAGCCUGAUGCAGCAACGCCGCGUGCGGGAUGACGGCCUUCGGGUUGUAAACCGCUUUCGCCUGUGACGAAGCGUGAGUGACGGUAAUGGGUAAAGAAGCACCGGCUAACUACGUG